rnacentral:rRNA from 1 species
UAACCGGCGAUUUCCGAAUGGGGAAACCCAGUGUGUUUCGACACACUAUCAUUAACUGAAUCCAUAGGUUAAUGAGGCGAACCGGGGGAACUGAAACAUCUAAGUACCCCGAGGAAAAGAAAUCAACCGAGAUUCCCCCAGUAGCGGCGAGCGAACGGGGAGGAGCCCAGAGCCUGAAUCAGUGUGUGUGUUAGUGGAAGCGUCUGGAAAGGCGCGCGAUACAGGGUGACAGCCCCGUACACAAAAAUGCACAUACUGUGAGCUCGAUGAGUAGGGCGGGACACGUGGUAUCCUGUCUGAAUAUGGGGGGACCAUCCUCCAAGGCUAAAUACUCCUGACUGACCGAUAGUGAACCAGUACCGUGAGGGAAAGGCGAAAAGAACCCCGGCGAGGGGAGUGAAAAAGAACCUGAAACCGUGUACGUACAAGCAGUGGGAGCCUCUUAAUGGGGUGACUGCGUACCUUUUGUAUAAUGGGUCAGCGACUUAUAUUCUGUAGCAAGGUUAACCGAAUAGGGGAGCCGAAGGGAAACCGAGUCUUAACUGGGCGUUAAGUUGCAGGGUAUAGACCCGAAACCCGGUGAUCUAGCCAUGGGCAGGUUGAAGGUUGGGUAACACUAACUGGAGGACCGAACCGACUAAUGUUGAAAAAUUAGCGGAUGACUUGUGGCUGGGGGUGAAAGGCCAAUCAAACCGGGAGAUAGCUGGUUCUCCCCGAAAGCUAUUUAGGUAGCGCCUCGUGAAUUCAUCUCCGGGGGUAGAGCACUGUUUCGGCAAGGGGGUCAUCCCGACUUACCAACCCGAUGCAAACUGCGAAUACCGGAGAAUGUUAUCACGGGAGACACACGGCGGGUGCUAACGUCCGUCGUGAAGAGGGAAACAACCCAGACCGCCAGCUAAGGUCCCAAAGUCAUGGUUAAGUGGGAAACGAUGUGGGAAGGCCCAGACAGCCAGGAUGUUGGCUUAGAAGCAGCCAUCAUUUAAAGAAAGCGUAAUAGCUCACUGGUCGAGUCGGCCUGCGCGGAAGAUGUAACGGGGCUAAACCAUGCACCGAAGCUGCGGCAGCGACACUAUGUGUUGUUGGGUAGGGGAGCGUUCUGUAAGCCUGUGAAGGUGUACUGUGAGGUAUGCUGGAGGUAUCAGAAGUGCGAAUGCUGACAUAAGUAACGAUAAAGCGGGUGAAAAGCCCGCUCGCCGGAAGACCAAGGGUUCCUGUCCAACGUUAAUCGGGGCAGGGUGAGUCGACCCCUAAGGCGAGGCCGAAAGGCGUAGUCGAUGGGAAACAGGUUAAUAUUCCUGUACUUGGUGUUACUGCGAAGGGGGGACGGAGAAGGCUAUGUUGGCCGGGCGACGGUUGUCCCGGUUUAAGCGUGUAGGCUGGUUUUCCAGGCAAAUCCGGAAAAUCAAGGCUGAGGCGUGAUGACGAGGCACUACGGUGCUGAAGCGACAAAUGCCCUGCUUCCAGGAAAAGCCUCUAAGCAUCAGGUAACAUCAAAUCGUACCCCAAACCGACACAGGUGGUCAGGUAGAGAAUACCAAGGCGCUUGAGAGAACUCGGGUGAAGGAACUAGGCAAAAUGGUGCCGUAACUUCGGGAGAAGGCACGCUGAUAUGUAGGUGAAGCGACUUGCUCGUGGAGCUGAAAUCAGUCGAAGAUACCAGCUGGCUGCAACUGUUUAUUAAAAACACAGCACUGUGCAAACACGAAAGUGGACGUAUACGGUGUGACGCCUGCCCGGUGCCGGAAGGUUAAUUGAUGGGGUUAGCGGUAACGCGAAGCUCUUGAUCGAAGCCCCGGUAAACGGCGGCCGUAACUAUAACGGUCCUAAGGUAGCGAAAUUCCUUGUCGGGUAAGUUCCGACCUGCACGAAUGGCGUAAUGAUGGCCAGGCUGUCUCCACCCGAGACUCAGUGAAAUUGAACUCGCUGUGAAGAUGCAGUGUACCCGCGGCAAGACGGAAAGACCCCGUGAACCUUUACUAUAGCUUGACACUGAACAUUGAGCCUUGAUGUGUAGGAUAGGUGGGAGGCUUUGAAGUGUGGACGCCAGUCUGCAUGGAGCCGACCUUGAAAUACCACCCUUUAAUGUUUGAUGUUCUAACGUGGGCCCCUUACCGGGGUUGCGGACAGUGUCUGGUGGGUAGUUUGACUGGGGCGGUCUCCUCCUAAAGAGUAACGGAGGAGCACGAAGGUUGGCUAAUCCUGGUCGGACAUCAGGAGGUUAGUGCAAUGGCAUAAGCCAGCUUGACUGCGAGCGUGACGGCGCGAGCAGGUGCGAAAGCAGGUCAUAGUGAUCCGGUGGUUCUGAAUGGAAGGGCCAUCGCUCAACGGAUAAAAGGUACUCCGGGGAUAACAGGCUGAUACCGCCCAAGAGUUCAUAUCGACGGCGGUGUUUGGCACCUCGAUGUCGGCUCAUCACAUCCUGGGGCUGAAGUAGGUCCCAAGGGUAUGGCUGUUCGCCAUUUAAAGUGGUACGCGAGCUGGGUUUAGAACGUCGUGAGACAGUUCGGUCCCUAUCUGCCGUGGGCGCUGGAGAACUGAGGGGGGCUGCUCCUAGUACGAGAGGACCGGAGUGGACGCAUCACUGGUGUUCGGGUUGUCAUGCCAAUGGCACUGCCCGGUAGCUAAAUGCGGAAGAGAUAAGUGCUGAAAGCAUCUAAGCACGAAACUUGCCCCGAGAUGAGUUCUCCCUGACUCCUUGAGAGUCCUGAAGGAACGUUGAAGACGACGACGUUGAUAGGCCGGGUGUGUAAGCGCAGCGAUGCGUUGAGCUAACCGGUACUAAUGAACCGUGAGGCUUAACCUU